GACGAACGCUGGCGGCGUGCUUAACACAUGCAAGUCGAACGGAAAGGCCCUGCUUGUGUGGGGUGCUCGAGUGGCGAACGGGUGAGUAACACGUGAGUAACCUGCCCUUGACUUUGGGAUAACUGCAGGAAACUGGGGCUAAUACCGGAUAGGAGCUCCGGCUGCAUGGUGGGGGUUGGAAAGUUUCGGCGGUUGGGGAUGGACUCGCGGCUUAUCAGCUUGUUGGUGGGGUAGUGGCUUACCAAGGCUUUGACGGGUAGCCGGCCUGAGAGGGUGACCGGCCACAUUGGGACUGGGAUACGGCCCAGACUCCUACGGGAGGCAGCAGUGGGGAAUAUUGCACAAUGGGCGGAAGCCUGAUGCAGCAACGCCGCGUGCGGGAUGACGGCCUUCGGUUUGUAACCCGUUUUCGCCUGUGACGAAGCGUGAGUGACGGUAAUGGGUAAAGAAGCACCGGCUAACUACGUG
rnacentral:rRNA from 1 species